CAUGCUUAACACAUGCAAGUCGGACGGUAACAGGUGUAGCUUGCUACAUGCUGACGAGUGGCGGACGGGUGAGUAAUGCAUAGGAACUUACCUUAUGGAGGGAGAUAGCUCAGGGAAACUUGGGGUCAUACCGCGUAAGACCGAGAGGUGAAGGGGGGCGUAAGCUUUCGCCAUAAGAUGGGCGUAUGUUGGAUUAGCUAGGUGGUAGGGUAAAGGCAUACCAAGGCGACGAUCCAUAGCUGUGCUGAGAGGAAGGACAGACACACUGGGACGGAGACACGGCCCAGACUCCUACGGGAUGCAGCAGUGGGGAAUAUUGGACAAUGGGGGCAACCCUGAUCCAGCCAUGCCGCGUGAGUGAUGAAGGCCUUCGGGUUGUAAAGCUCUUUUGGCGGGGAAGAUAAUGACGGUACCCGCAGAAGAAGCCCCGGCCAACUUCGUGCCAGCCGCCGCCGUAA
rnacentral:rRNA from 1 species